UCUCUUCUGAACUUCAAUGACUUGCUCGUCGCAAUCAGAGAUGUCAUGCCUGAAGCCACUGUCACGGCCUUUGAAUACGAAGAUGAGGUGGGAGACAGAAUCACAGUAAGAAGUGAUGAAGAACUCAAAGCCAUGUUGUCAUAUGUGAGUACAUAAAUG